rnacentral:rRNA from 1 species
UACGUAGGGUGCGAGCGUUAAUCGGAAUUACUGGGCGUAAAGCGUGCGCAGGCGGUGAUGUAAGACAGGUGUGAAAUCCCCGGGCUUAACCUGGGAACUGCAUUUGUGACUGCAUCGCUGGAGUGCGGCAGAGGGGGAUGGAAUUCCGCGUGUAGCAGUGAAAUGCGUAGAUAUGCGGAGGAACACCGAUGGCGAAGGCAAUCCCCUGGGCCUGCACUGACGCUCAUGCACGAAGCGUGGGGAGCAACAGG